UACACUCCUGCGGGAGGCAGCAGUGGGGAAUUUUGGACAAUGGGCGAAAGCCUGAUCCAGCAAUGCCGCGUGAGUGAAGAAGGCCUUCGGGUUGUAAAGCUCUUUUGUCAGGGAAGAAACGGUGAAAGCUAAUAUCUUUUGCUAAUGACGGUACCUGAAGAAUAAGCACCGGCUAACUACGUGCCAGCAGCCGCGGUAAUACGUAGGGUGCAAGCGUUAAUCGGAAUUACUGGGCGUAAAGCGUGCGCAGGCGGUUUUGUAAGUCUGAUGUGAAAUCCCCGGGCUCAACCUGGGAAUUGCAUUGGAGACUGCAAGGCUAGAAUCUGGCAGAGGGGGGUAGAAUUCCACGUGUAGCAGUGAAAUGCGUAGAUAUGUGGAGGAACACCGAUGGCGAAGGCAGCCCCCUGGGUCAAGAUUGACGCUCAUGCACGAAAGCGUGGGGAGCAAACAGGAUUAGAUACCCCGGUAGUCCCUUG
rnacentral:rRNA from 1 species